UCCAGACUCCUACGGGAGGCAGCAGUGAGGAAUAUUGGUCAAUGGGCGGGAGCCUGAACCAGCCAAGUCGCGUGAGGGAAGACGGUCCUAUGGAUUGUAAACCUCUUUUGCCGGGGAGCAACGGGGUCCUUGCGAGGGCCCGAUGAGAGUACCCGGAGAAAAAGCAUCGGCUAACUCCGUGCCAGCAGCCGCGGUAAUACGGAGGAUGCGAGCGUUAUCCGGAUUUAUUGGGUUUAAAGGGUGCGUAGGCGGGCUGUUAAGUCAGGGGUCAAAGGUCGGGGCUCAACCCCGGCCUGCCGUUGAAACUGGCAGUCUCGAGUUGGAGAGAAGUAUGCGGAAUGCGCGGUGUAGCGGUGAAAUGCAUAGAUAUCGCGCAGAACUCCGAUUGCGAAGGCAGCGCACCGGCGCCCUACUGACGCUCAGGCACGAAAGCGUGGGUAUCGAACAGGAUUAGAUACCCCAGUAUCA
rnacentral:rRNA from 1 species